UUGUUUCGGAGGCAAUUUCUCCUAAGCUCGUCGUUUCGGAGGCAAUUUCUCCUAAGCUUGUCGCCAUAGGAGUCGAGGAAUAAACGUCGGAGCUCUAUCAAAUCCAUCCUAAGAAGCGCCAACAUCCGCCCAAGUGUCUCCCAGGAUUAACAUCCUAACCUAUAUAUUAGCUAGAUUUGAGACACCGGGAUUCUCCUCC
rnacentral:lncRNA from 1 species